rnacentral:tRNA from 1 species
AAAGCCUUAGUAAAACAUUACAUAGCCCUGUCAGCACUAAAUUAUGGGUACCUACCUCCUAAACCCAUAGGCUUUA